ACGUAGGGGGCUAGCGUUGUCCGGAUUUAUUGGGCGUAAAGAGCGUGUAGGCGGCCAGGUAGGUCUGCUGUGAAAACUCGAGGCUCAACCUCGAGACGUCGGCGGAAACCAUCUGGCUAGAGUCCGGAAGAGGAGAGUGGAAUUCCUGGUGUAGCGGUGAAAUGCGCAGAUAUCAGGAAGAACACCCGUGGCGAAGGCGGCUCUCUGGGACGGUACUGACGCUGAGACGCGAAAGCGUGGGGAGCGAACAGG
rnacentral:rRNA from 1 species